CUUUGAACAUGUUAUUGAAACAUUUACAACGGUACUGCUUUUAUAUACAGAGUCUCCUUACAACAAGACCCAAGCUAAGAUCUCCAUUUUUUAGACCCCAAAAUGGAGUAUGGCCCUCUCACACAAAAUUCAAAAUUCAA